GCAGCUAUGGGUGCUUGCGGUCAUGAUCGGACAGCUGUGAGAGUGUGCAUGAGCGAUCAGAGGGCUGCGAAUGAUUCUAAAGUCCUAACAGGAGUUAGGAUGCCAGUAGGACAAGGUUUUAGGACCUUUAAAAGGGGCUUGACGACCUAUGGAGGGGUCGCAGCUCAAAGCGUGAGUAAAGGAUUGAUUGUGGCAGUUAGAGAGUCUCCUUGGAGGGUUUUGAGAGGUUUGUGAAGAUU
rnacentral:lncRNA from 1 species